rnacentral:rRNA from 1 species
UACGGAGGGUGCUAGCGUUGUUCGGAAUCACUGGGCGUAAAGCGCGUGUAGGCGGCCCACUAAGUCUGAUGUGAAAGCCCCGGGGCUCACCCCCCGGAAGUGCAUUGGAAACUGGUGGACUCGAGUCCCGGAGAGGAGGGUGGAAUUCCGUGGUGUAGCGGUGAAAUGCGUAGAUAUCAGAAAGAACACCAGUGGCGAAGGCGAUCCUCUGGUCCAUUAUUGACGCUAAAGCACGAAAGCGUGGGGAGCAAACAGG